CCAGAGUGCGUUUCAGACCGCUGCCCGCCUGUGGGAACUGGGCUGCCUCACAGGCCGGGCUCUGCAGGCGCUCAGUGGGGAACUAGACCGGAAACCUUUAGGGGGUGGCUCUCUGCAUCCUCUGGGACCCAGAUGGGAAGCGGUGGCUUCCUCUGGUGUCCUUAACGAAGAUUCUCGUUCACAUUUCCAAAGUUGCUUUGUUCAGCUUUGCAAGUUAACAAUUCAUGGAUGAGAGCUGCAGAUCUGGUCCCUCCUGACAGUGAACAGCAAGGUUAUCGCUCAUGCCCAGUAGCCACACGGAACUCAGAAGCUGUCAGCCAGGAUCUGAACUUGCAACCUGAGAGGUGGAUGGUGGUGGGACAUGCUGGUGGGCAGGAGCUGAGGACCUGGGCGGCAGAGCCAGGACAUCCCUCCCUCAUCUUCAGUGUCCCGCUGGAAGUGGAGGAAAGCGAGGCCCAGCACGCGCAGUCCCGGGGGGCUUCACCAUCCAUCUGCUGUGGUCCCGUGGGGCUCUACUCCAGCCCCUCUCACCGGUUGCUAGGCUUCCAUGGACUGAGCUCUGGUGGAAUGAUUGUAACUGAUCCCGAAGCUUGCACAGUGCAUGGUGACCAAACACGGUGGCUCCGCUGGCUCCAUCUGGUACUGACCGCCUCACAGGGUCAGAUGAGGGCUGGAUCCCGCUGGCCAGCCGGGCCUGGGGGGCCCUGAGCUGGGCUUUGAGGUUGGGGUUGGCGAAACUCUGCACAGCCAGCCCAGGAGCAGAGCCUGACGCCCUCUGCAGGGAAGGCCAAGGUGGCAGCCCCACAGCCUCCAGUCAGUUCUCGGCUGGGCAGCAUGCAGCCUCCAUCUCCCACCAGCUCUGCUAUUCUGGAGCAGGAGUGCUUCCGGCAUGGUGGGUGCCACAGCCUAGAGAAUUUCCUGCCUGGGCAGAAAGCUCGGGACACUGACACUGUCUGCUGGCUUGGGUGGGGGAGAAAGCCUAUGUUCAAAUGUGACCGUAAGUGUGACAAAGGCCAUUUCUGGGCUGGUUGAGUUUAAAGGAGACAUUUCUAUGGUUUGUAAAGUCUGAUCCAUGUUGCUGAAUCAUUUAUGUUUAAUAUGUACAUUUACACAUAAGUAUAUGUUGCCUUUUCAAUGUUUUCAGAAAACAGUGCUUUGAAGCCAGGAUAGCAAUUUGAUUGAGACUUGCUAUAGUCAAAAAUAAAAUAA